AGAGUUUGAUCCUGGCUCAGGAUGUACGCUGGCGGCGCACUUAAGACAUGCAAGUCGAACGGAAGUCGUUGUAAUGAUAUAGACAUGGACUGAGAACUUGUUCAAAGAAAGUGAAAGUUGACUUACAACAAUGGCUUUAGUGGCGGACUGGUGAGUAACACGUAAGCAACCUGCCUAUCAGAGGGGAACAACAGUUAGAAAUGACUGCUAAUACCGCAUAUGCCUAAGUACCACAUGGUACAAUAGGGAAAGGAGCAAUCCGCUGAUAGAUGGGCUUGCGUCUGAUUAGAUAGUUGGCGGGGUAAUGGCCUACCAAGUCAACGACCAGUAGCCGGACUGAGAGGUUGAACGGCCACAUUGGGACUGAGAUACGGCCCAGACUCCUACGGGAGGCAGCAGUCGGGAAUAUUGCGCAAUGGAGGAAACUCUGACGCAGUGACGCCGCGUGCAGGAAGAAGGUUUUCGGAUUGUAAACUGCUUUAGACAGGGAAGAAUAAAGACAGUACCUGUAGAAUAAGCUCCGGCUAACUACGUGCCAGCAGCCGCGGUAAUACGUAGGGAGCAAGCGUUAUCCGGAUUUAUUGGGUGUAAAGGGUGCGUAGACGGGAAAUUAAGUUAGUUGUGAAAUCCCUCGGCUUAACUGAGGAACUGCAACUAAAACUGGUUUUCUUGAGUGCUGGAGAGGAAAGUGGAAUUCCUAGUGUAGCGGUGAAAUGCGUAGAUAUUAGGAGGAACACCAGUGGCGAAGGCGACUUUCUGGACAGUAACUGACGUUGAGGCACGAAAGUGUGGGGAGCAAACAGGAUUAGAUACCCUGGUAGUCCACACCGUAAACGAUGGAUACUAGGUGUAGGGUGUGAUAAACAUUCUGUGCCGUCGCAAACGC
rnacentral:rRNA from 1 species